rnacentral:rRNA from 1 species
CCUACGGGCGGCAGCAGUGGGGAAUAUUGCACAAUGGGGGAAACCCUGAUGCAGCGACGCCGCGUGAGUGAAGAAGUAAUUCGUUAUGUAAAGCUCUAUCAGCAGGGAAGAAAAUGACGGUACCUGAUUAAGAAGCCCCGGCUAACUACGUGCCAGCAGCCGCGGGAAUACGUAGGGGGCAAGCGUUAUCCGGAUUUACUGGGUGUAAAGGGAGAGUAGACGGGAGUGCAAGUCUGGAGUGAAAGGCGCGGGCGCAACCCCCGGACUGCUCAAGAAACUGUACGGCUGGAGUGCAGGAGAGGUAAGUGGAAGUCCUAGUGUAGCGGUGAAAUGCGUAGAUAUUAGGAGGAACACCAGUGGCGAAGGCGGCUUACUGGACUGUAACUGACGUUGAGGCUCGAAAGCGUGGGGAGCAAACAGGAUUAGAUACCCUUGUAGUC